GACAGAGAAUGGCAUAGGAUGUGAGACAGAAGGUCCGUUGGCGUUAUUCUGCAUCAUCCCUAUAGCCGCUGCUCUAUCACCAACUGGCAUUUACCCAAUUUCAGUUGCUGAAAUUUCUCCGAUAAUGAAACUCUAUUCAUAGCGAGCGUUGGUUCUGGCUAUGUCCUGGUCAAACUUGGAUUCAUGGCUUUUAAGAAGUGGUCUGGGCGAGAUAAACGGUACAGGUUGGAGGGCCAGUACGAUGGGACUAGCAAAGGGAAAAGGGUUUUUUCUAGGUUGCUAAUGGGGCGAUGAACUGAAUUUGACAUUCUGAUACUAGUAGUGAAAGUGGUGGUUUUGUUGGCAUAGAUAUGUAUGUUGGUUUUGUGCAUUUCUGGGUUCCUUUCCCCUGUUUUUGAUCUGUGAAUAUCUGGACGCUCAUUAAUGCUUAUUGCCAGCAACUUGUUUGUAUUUUGGGCUGAGAGGGUUGAGCUGGCAAAUGGCAAUGACAUCCUCAUCCUCCUCUUCGAGAGAA